AAUCCGCUCCGACCACUGAUGAUAUAUUUCUAAUAUCUGAUUCAGAAGCUACCCUGAAUCAUACAUAGAUUUUAUAAAUAAACACCUUUUAGUAAAUAUAGCUAUGACGAAAACUUGGCAAAUGUUCAAUUUGACCUGAUUCAUUAUAAUUGUGAAUUACGCAGUUCUUUAGUUCCAAUAAAAGACUUUGACCAAAACAAACAUCGGAAAGCAAGACUUCGGACGGCUGGAUUUUCAGAAGUGUCAUAUAUUGUAACUGAGCUAAAGGUACAUCCAGUGAACUGCUAUAUUAUGGUGACUGGAUUUUAUUGGUGGAGGAAAUCGGAGUACCCAUAGAGACCAGCAACUUAUGACGGAUACACUGGCAAUUGUUGUCACGCACGAGGACUGAAUACUAGUAGAUGAUUUAGGCAGGAGAACUGAGUACCAGUACAUUUAGGCAGAAUGACUGAGUAUUAGAAUAAAACAGGACCGAGUACUAGAUGAUUUAAACAGGAUGACUGAGUAAAAGUAUAUUUAGGCAGUUUAGGACUUGAGUACUAGUUAAUAUAGGCAGUCUGACAGAGUACUAGUAGAUAUAUAGGCAGGAGGCCCGAGUACUAGUAGAUUUAGGUUGUAGAACUGAGUACUCGUUGACGUAUGCAGGAGGACUGAGUACUAGAAGAUUUAUAAAGGAGGACUGAAUACUGGAAGAGUUAGACAGGAAGACUGAGUACUAGGAGAUGUUGACAGCGUGAUUGAGUAUUAGUAGAUUUAGGCAUGAGGACGGAAUACUAGGAGAUUUAGGCAAAAGUACUGAGUACUAGAAGAUGUGGGCAGGAGGACUGAUUACUAUUUGAUUUAGGCAAGAGGACUGACUACUAAUAUAUUUAGGUUGUGUGACUGAGUACAAGUAGAUGUAUGCAGCAGGACUGAGUACAAGAAGAUUUAGGCAGGAUAACUGAGUACUAGUAGAUUUAGGUUGAAAGACUGAGUACUAGUAGAUCUAUGGAGGAGGGCCGAGUACUAGAAGAUUUAGGAAGGAGUUUUAAUUACUUGUUGAUUUGACAGGAUUGCCCAUGCCCUAGAAGAUUCAGGCAAGAAGACUAAAUACCAGAAUAUUUAGCAGGAUUACUGAGUAUUUAUAGAUUUAGGCAGAAAAAUAACUAAGUGCUAGUAGAUUUGGGUAGGAGAACUGAGUACUAAACGAUUUAGGGCUUCGAUAGAUCUUAUUGAUCUGCAUAUGUGAGCCAUAUCUGGGGCGCAGUAAAUGUCAGAAGAAAGGAGUGCCGUUACUGUCGAAAUUGGUAAAAAUGCGGCCGAGCGUAGGGAUGCGAAUUAGUUUUAAACGAUUUACGCAUAAAAAUAUGAUAUUUCUUUUUCCGAUCAAAGAACGCCUUCUACUCCAUCUCCCCGAAUCUUUCACUGUAUAUUCUGUGCCAAUAAUUCUAUGUGGAGCAAGUAGGGGGAAUCAAUUCACCAAUAAUUCUAUGUGAAGCAAGUAGGGGGAAUCCAUUCACCAAUAAUUCUAUGUGAAGCAAGUAGGGGGAAUCCACUCACCAAACAUAAUAGAGGCUAUAGAACUAUGUAAGCCUUACUUUUUGUAUACAUAUAAAACGAGGGUACUAGGUUGGCGAUACACCUCUUUUUUUUUGCUAUGUGAUCUUUAUUUAAUAGGAACAUUUACGUCAUACUUGGCGUAUAAUCGAUGUUAAUAUACGCAAUAAUUAGGUAGACCUGAAGAGAUUCCCAUACAGUAAGCAUGUGUUUUUGUCUUUGAUAUCACAUGAAUUUUUCUUGUUUGUUUUCUCAUUAGAUGACAUAAUAGUUUAUUUUAACUCUAAAUAUAUAAAUAUAAAACUUAAGAUAAAACGUAUUUUAGUAACGAACAUACCAGUUUACAUAUAAAACAAGGGUACUAGGUUAGCGAUACUUUACACAUUUUCGCUAUGUGAUCUUUAUUUCAUAGAAACAUUAUGUCAUUCUUGGCAUACAACCAGUGACAAUUUACACAAUUAUUACGUAGAACUUAAGAAAUUCCCAUAAUUUAAUCAUGUGAUUCAAGCAUGUGCUUUUCUAUUGAUCUAACAUGCAUUUUUCUUGUUUGUUUUCUCAUAAAAAGACUAUAUAUAUAUAUGAUUACAUAUGUACUUAGAUAAAUCGCAUUUUGCUAACGAACAUACCAGUCUACGCAUAAAACAAGGGUACUAGGUUGUCUAUACUUUACAUUUGUUUUGAUAUGUAUACUAUACUUGGCGUAUAACCAAUUACAAUUUACGCAAUAAUUAGGAAGAAAUGAUUAAACCAUGUGCUUUUCUCUUUGAUACCACAUGUAUUUUUCUUGUUUGUUUUUCCAGUAAUAGACAUUGUUUAUUUUAACGAAUAUUAUAUAUAAAUAUUGCUACAACAUGAUCAAAUCCGAUCUGUGACUUUAGGCUGAAAAAGUCAAAUUUUCCAAACGCUCUGCGCCAUCACUAAAUUUCAAAACUAUGUAGAAAACGAAAAACCCUCGUGAGGUAACAGAUAACACAUUUUUUGUAUGGUCAGGGGGACUUGGAAUAAAUAUUUUUGCCUGGUAAGAACUCAAGAAAAAUGAUAUUGCCCAAGACAGGACGAAAAUACAUAAUCAGUCCUUCACAAUGCAGCAAAUUGUCUAAAAAAAUUGAAAACAAAUUUCCGUUCGACUUUUAAAUAACCGGACUAGCAACAGGUGAACAUGACUAUUCCAUUGGCAAGAAUUUUUUCCUGCCACAUCCUUAAAAUAAUCAAAUUGCUCGCAUGUAUGUAAGUUUGAAUGUUUAAUGCUUUUUCUUUUCUUUUUUUCAUCUUCGACAGAAAUUACGGCAUUCGGUAAUUAAAUUCUGUUCACAUUUUUCGGUAUACUAAAUAUAUUUGUCUCACUUAAGAUACUAGUGUUUGUCAUUCGAAAAUAAACCAUUGGCGAUUAUCGAAAAUAAUCGGAGGUGUUUAUUUCAAUCUUUAAUAUUUCAGUCUAACAUAUUUGUUAUAUAUUUUCCAAAAAAAAUUAAAAUACAUGUAGUA